rnacentral:rRNA from 1 species
AAUGAACGUUGGCGGCGUGGAUUAGGCAUGCAAGUCGUGCGAUAUUCCCUCGCAAGGGGGAUGAAAGCGGCGAAAGGGUGAGUAACGCGUGGAUACCUACCCUGGGGACCGGGAUAGCCGUGGGAAACUGCGGGUAAUACCGGAUAACGUCUUUGGACCAAAGGUGUGAUUCCGCCCUGGGAUGGGUCCGCGUCCUAUUAGCUAGUUGGCAGGGUAAUGGCCUACCAAGGCGAUGAUGGGUACGGGGUGUGAGAGCAUGACCCCGCUCACUGGGACUGAGACACUGCCCAGACACCUACGGGUGGCUGCAGUCGAGGAUCUUCGGCAAUGGGCGCAAGCCUGACCGAGCGACGCCGUGUGCGGGAUGAAGGCCUUCGGGUUGUAAACCGCUGUCAGAGGGGAGGAAGUACCGGGAAGUAAUACAUAAUCGACCCGGUUUGACCUAUCCUCAGAGGAAGUACGGGCUAAGUUCGUGCCAGCCGCCGCGGUAAAAC